GGAUGUGAGGGCGAUCUGGCUGCGACAUCUGUCACCCCAUUGAUCACCAGGGUUGAUUUGGCUGAUCUGGCUGGCUAGGCGGGUGUCCUCCUCCUCCCUCACCGAUCCAUGUUCGUCCCUCCCGAAGCUGCGAGCUCGGUCGAAGAGGACGACUCUUCCCCCGCGAGGAGAGGACCGGUCUUCGGUCAAGGGUAUACGAGUAGCUGCGCUCCCCUGCUAGAACCUCCAAACAAGCUCUCAAGAAUAUUUUGUUGCCAAAACCAGUUUGGCUCAGUGGAUAGAGCAUCAGCCUGCGGAUUGAAGGGUCCCAGGUUCGAUUCC
ensembl:misc_RNA 7SK 7SK RNA